rnacentral:rRNA from 2 species
GGAAGGAGAAGUCGUAACAAGGUCUCCGUUGGUGAACCAGCGGAGGGAUCAUUA